AAAAACUAUAAACAGUUGGCAUUUAGUACGAAGAUUUUGUCUCGUGUUGGAGUUAGUGUCGAGGUUUUGCACUUCUAUAAAAAUGUGAAAAAUAAAACUAUAUGAUCCUUCUCUCCUCUCUCUAACAAGCAGAAAGAUUUUUAUGAUAACAAAUACCAAUUGUUUAAACAUCCAAGUGCGCCGUCAGUGUCACUCUCUCUCCAUCCAAUUUGCCAAACAACAACUGAGCUGAAACGUGUUUUUUUUUUUUUUAAGAAAAACAAAUAUGAUUAUGUAUGCACAUACAGAAACCAUUGACUUUUGAUGAAUUUUUCUCCUUUCUUAGAUUCCUUGUGUAGCUUAGGACUUUCAACACUGAAAAAUGAAGCUGAGUCCCAGAGAGAUCGAGAAACUAGGCCUGCACAAUGCUGGUUAUCUUGCCCAGAAACGUCUUGCUCGUGGUUUAAGACUCAAUUAUGCUGAAACUGUUGCUCUCAUAGCAACUCAGAUUUUGGAGUUUGUACGUGAUGGUGAAAAGACUGUUGCAGAGCUAAUGUGCAUUGGUAGAGAGCUUUUGGGAAGGAGACAAGUUCUUCCAGCUGUUCCACAUCUCUUAGAAACUGUUCAGGUUGAAGCCACCUUUCGUGAUGGGACGAAGUUAGUCACCAUUCAUGACCCAAUUGCUUGUGAGAAUGGAAACCUUGAACAUGCUUUAUUUGGUUCUUUUCUUCCAGUACCUUCACUUGACAAGUUCACUGAGAACGGAGAAGAUCAUAGAAUUCCGGGGGAAAUAAUAUUUGGAGAUGGAUGUCUGACUCUUAACCCUGGAAGGAAGGCAAUAAUUCUCACAGUUGUGAACAAAGGAGACAGGCCAAUUCAGGUUGGCAGCCACUAUCAUUUUAUAGAAGUAAAUCCUUACUUAAUCUUUGAUAGAAGGAAAGCAUAUGGCAUGCGCCUCAAUAUAGCUUCUGGGACUGCCACACGUUUUGAGCCAGGGGAAUGUAAAAGUGUUAAACUUGUAAGCAUUGGAGGUAACAAAGUCAUCAGAGGAGGUAACAACAUUGCUGAUGGUCCAGUUAGUGAUUCCAACUGCAUAGCAGCCAUGGAGGCAGUGAGGACAAGGGGAUUUGGACAUGUGGAAGAGGAAAAUGCUAGGGAAGGUGUUACUGGAGAAGACUGUUUAUUUACUAAAGUAAUUUCUAGAGAGGAAUAUGCUAAUAAGUAUGGACCUACUACUGGUGAUAAAAUCCGUCUUGGUGACACUGACUUAUUUGCUGAAAUUGAAAAUGAUUAUGCUGUCUAUGGUGAUGAAUGUGUUUUUGGAGGUGGGAAAGUCAUAAGAGAUGGAAUGGGUCAGUCAUGCAGCCAUCCACCUGCCCUCUCCUUGGAUACUGUUAUAACAAAUGCUGUGAUCAUUGAUUACACUAGAAUUAUCAAAGCAGAUAUUGGUAUUAAAGAUGGCCUCAUUAUCUCGAUUGGAAAAGCGGGAAAUCCAGAUGUUAUGGAUAGAGUAUUUACUAAUAUGAUUAUUGGUGCUAAUACUGAAGUUAUUGCUGGAGAGGGCUUGAUUGUGACAGCUGGGGCUAUAGAUUGUCAUGUUCAUUUUAUAUGCCCUCAAUUAGUAUAUGAAGCUGUAACAAGUGGCAUCACAACAUUAGUGGGAGGAGGAACAGGACCUGCUGAGGGAACACGUGCAACAACUUGUACACCAGCCCCAGUUCAGAUGAAACUGAUGUUGCAAUCAACAGAUGACAUGCCUCUAAACUUUGGUUUUACUGGAAAAGGGAAUUGUGCCAAACCUGAUGAACUGCAUGAAAUAAUCAGGGCUGGAGCUAUGGGACUGAAGCUGCAUGAGGACUGGGGAUCUACCCCAGCAGCAAUAGACAGUUGCUUGACUGUUGCAGAACAACAUGAUAUCCAGGUUAAUAUACAUACUGACACCUUAAAUGAAUCUGGAUUUGUGGAACAUACAAUUGAUGCAUUUAAAGGAAGAACCAUUCAUACUUACCACAGUGAAGGUGCAGGUGGUGGCCAUGCUCCAGAUAUCAUCAAAGUAUGUGGUGUGAAGAAUGUCUUGCCCUCAUCAACCAAUUCCACACGCCCUUAUACGUCUAAUACCAUAGAUGAGCAUCUUGACAUGUUGAUGGUAUGCCAUCAUCUUGAUAGGAAUAUUCCAGAAGAUUUAGCUUUUGCAGCAUCAAGGAUCAGAGCUGAAACAAUUGCUGCUGAAGAUAUUUUGCAUGACAUGGGUGCAAUUAGCAUUAUAUCUUCUGAUUCACAGGCUAUGGGUCGAAUUGGAGAGGUGAUAAGCAGAACCUGGCAAACUGCCAACAAGAUGAAGUUGCAAAGAGGACCACUGAAGCCUGGUGAAGUGAAUGACAACUUUCGGAUCAAACGUUAUGUUGCGAAGUACACUAUAAACCCGGCUAUAGCAAAUGGUUUUUCACAAUAUGUUGGUUCAGUCGAGGUAUGAUGUGGGAAAGUUAGCUGAUCUGGUAUUAUGGAAGCCGUCAUUUUUUGGAGCAAAACCAGAAAUGGUGAUCAAAGGUGGUGAGGUUGCAUGGGCUAACAUGGGUGACCCCAAUGCAAGCAUCCCAACCCCUGAACCGGUGAUCAUGAGGCCUAUGUUUGGAGCAUUUGGCAAGGCUGGUAGUGCACACUCCAUCACUUUUGUGAGCAAGGUUGCUUUGGAUGGUGGGGUGAAAGCUUCUUACGAACUUAACAAGAGGGUGGAAGCAGUGGAGAGUGUGAGGAAGCUGAGCAAACUAGACAUGAAACUCAAUGACACACUUCCAAAUAUCACUGUGGACCCAGAAACAUACAUAGUUACAGCUGAUGGAGAGGUUCUUACAUGCACCGCAGCCACUACCGUUCCACUUUCUCGAAAUUAUUUCAUCUUUUAAGAUCAAACUACGUGUCCCAUAUUACGUCGCAUGACCAUUCUAUAUAUCAAGUUUGUAGGUCCCCAUUAGGUAUUAGCACCGUAGCAAGUUUACUUGCCACUUUGCCAGGUUAUAUCUGAUAAGAUCAAAGUUAUGCUAUUAUUAUUUUGUG